CAAGCGCCCUAACCUCUGGCUGCCUAGAAAGAUGACGUAAGGCGCGUGCCCCGCCAAUCGCGGAGUGCUCCGGCCCCGCCCGGUGCAUUGUGGAGCUUAGAGACCCACACUGGGUCUCGCGAGAGAGCCAGACGGGAAUCACGGAGACAAAGGCCGACAGAGAUGUCGCCUUCCCUUCUCAGAGUAGGCGGUCCUGGCGGGAGUGCACCAAUCACAACGCCUCUUCUUCCCGCCCGUGGGGAUUGGUCCAGGGCUCACGUGAGUCGGCUGAGAGUCAUGUGAUGGCGCUGCCCCAGAGUCUGUAAUGAAGCCGGUGGCUUGCGGUAAAACCCGGAUUUGAAGAAGCCGCGAGCUUCCAGAGGGCAGGGCGCGUUCGGUCCCUUGCCUAGGAAAGGACCCGACGAAUGUGUCACGCGACUUCCCCUCGGACGCAGAGACGCUCCAAACGCUAUUCAGGGUUGGGUCGCUGAGCCCGGCAGAGCCCCUGCCUAGGCUGCCUUCGGCCCUGUCGUACCUGGGGGGAGGGUAGGCCCGUGUCCGCUCGGUGUGGCCGCCUUGUUACCUCUGCGACAGCGGUGAGGGCUCACAGGUGACUGCGGGGCCCCAGCCGAGGAGAGACGGUGGGGACGCACAGCCUGGAAGUGGGGAAUCGGGUGGACCAGCACCUUCUGAAGCCAGGUGGAGCCCACUUCCGUGCACAGCGAGUCACUGUUUCCUACGCAAGCUUUGGUGGCCCUGGACGACCACCCCUGUGCGUCCCAGGCUCCCAUGCCCCGUCGGCAGAAAUGCCAGGCCCCUUAAGCUUCUUGCACCAGAGCCAGCAAAAGAAGUGCAGGAGAGAGGAAUCAGGAAGCCAUAAGCGUGGGAGGAAGAGAAAUGGGCCCGGGCCUAAAAAGAAAUGGCUGUCCACAUUAGAUAAAAGAGGCAGAAAUCCCUGCCUUCACAGAACCUGCCUUUAGUGUCUGGAGAUGAGAAGCAAGAUGAAUAAAACCCACUCUUGGGCCAAGGAGGUAGAUCAGUGGUAGGGCACUUGCCUGAUAUUCGCAGGGCCCUGGGUUCAAUCUCUAGUGCCAAGGAAAUCAAAACAAAAACCCUGUAAUAUCUUGGAACGUAGUGGUACAGAGAAAAACUAAACCUAGGGACCUGUAGGAAGGGUGUGAGGAUGGGUGUCCUUUAUGUAGGGCCUUCUUAUGGGGCUGGGGAUGGAGGUCAGUCGUACAGUGUCUGCCUAGCAAGUACGAGACCCUAGGCUCGAUCCCAGUACUGCCAAAAAAAAGAACAGAGGUGAGGGACAGUACUGCCAGCAGAGGGCGUGGCAGGUGCCCAGGGCCCUGGGCUGGGAAAGACCUGCAGGGCAGUGAGCGUGGGCGAUGCUAGCGGGUUGCCACCAAAGGAGGCCAUGGCAGGGUCCGCAAAGGGGCGUGGUCAGCCCUACUUGGUAACCGGCACCGUGUGCUGUUGGCCAGAGCACUGAGGACAGUGAGUGGACCACUUCGAUCAUGCACUUAGGAGGUGAGGGUAACCUGAACCCCAGUGGUGGCCGUGCAGAGAGAAGCAGUCAGAUCGCAGAGGCAUCCUGAAGGGAGGAUUACAGAGCUGUCUGGUUGGCUGGAAGCCUGUCUUCCCCUUCGUAGGGUCACCUCCACCUCAUUUCCGCUUCAAGCAUCCAGUCCACAGAGGGACAAGAGCUCAAUCUCAGCCCAUCUGGGAUCCCCUGCAGUGGCUGCUGCCAUGUCAUGGGGGGUGGGGAAUCUGGUCCCCUGUACUCCUGUCACCUAUGCUGGCACCCGCAGAGUCUGACCUCAGCACACACAGCAUGUCCUGCUGAAAUGGCACUGGAGGGCAGGCAGACCAAGGAAGAGAGCGGCACUCAGAGAACUGAAGGCGCUGUGCUGAGCGGGCACUGUCCGCAGACCUCAAGCCCCACAGGCUCUGCCACUAAAGCACUGGCACCAGACGGCUCUUCAGAUUUGUGCCUGGCCCCAGCCCCAGAGUCACAGCCUCGGAGGCAGGGGAGCCCUGCAGUGAGGACCUCGGUGGCCCCAAGCUCAUCUGCCCUCAGCAGCCGGUUUCCAGUGCAGGCCGCACCAGCUAGACACCAGGCCAUGAUUUCACAUGGGGAACAGAGUGCAGAGAAGUCAAAUAGUACUGGAGAUCGAACUCAGGACCUUGCACAUGUGAGGUAGGCAUGCGCCACUGUAGCGCUGCGGGGUGGCCUGCCUCCCCCUGUGGGGAGAUUUGCAUCCUGGUCCCAUUUACGUCAUUCUCGGCCCCGUGAGAAAACAGGCAAGUGACACGCAUCACCUUUAAGCAGAAGCCCAAGGGCAAUCAAGGCUCUGCACGGCCCAGCUCCGGCGACCACAGCAAAGCUCCAGCCCGCCCUUCAGGAAGAUGCAGCGGCCCAAACAGUGCCCCCUCCAGUCAGGGCCGCUGAACCAGAGCUGCGGGGUCUCCGCAGGGCGACCUCGCCUGCACCCCGAGGCAGUGACCUUUGUGUUCUGCCAGGUGGGGGCUGGAGUUUGCAGCACUCGGUUCUGCCACUUAGGGUGCAAACAUGGCAUCGGAACCUCCGCCUGGCCGCGACACGUGGCGUGCGAAGAGGACACAGGGCAGAACGCAGCGGCGAAGGAGGCCGGAUCCACCCAAAAGUGCGGGACUCAGGUAGAGCUGGCACCCCUGAGGGCGUGGUCUUGAGGCCACAGUGAAAUCCUGCUGUCCACACCUGUGGUUCCGCAGCCACCACCAGAGACCCCUGGGCUGAGGCUGAGUUUGCAGCCCCUCUCAUUCCGCGAGACCGCAGUAGAGAAGGAAGUGCAGGGCACACCUCCAGGCACCGCCAUUGGCACUAGAGCGCUCACAGAGGUACUGGCAAGUUCUCUUCUCUGUCCCCCUCAGACACAGCUUUGGCCCUUCUUUUUAUGAAGAACACAAUGAGUAACACACACACACAUGCACACACGAGCACGUGUGUGUGUAGUAGGGGGACUGAACCCAGGGCCUGUGCACUAAGCUGCCUCAGACUCCUAGCGUGUGGGGUUAGAGGUGUGUGGCACCACACCUGGCACAUCUGUCACUCUAAUCUGUCUGAAGUGGUCGACCCGACGGCCCCAGGAAGUCUUGGGCGGCUCCAUCUCCUGGCAGAGGGAGCCCUGUCUUCCGCCUUUACACAGCGAGGACUCGGCAUGGUGGGAGGGCCUGGUGGAGGAGAGCUGCUCACAUCUUGGUGACCAGGAAGCAGAGAAGGGAGCACUGGGACAGCGUCACCACUCUCCUAGGGCUGCCACAGCAGAGGACCGUGAACUCUGUGGCUGAGACUCGGGGAGCAGCCUCUCCCCAGCCUCCUCCUAGCUGCCAGGAAUCCGGGGGCGAGACAGAACCUUCUGGACCCAAGAGAGAGCCUGCCCUGUGCCUCUCCUUAUGGGCACCUGAUGGCUCCUGGCCACAUGUGGCCUCCUUGGCUGGUGGACGCAUUUCCCCUGUCUCUGUCUGUUGUCACAAGGCCUUCUUCCCGUGGACAUUUAUGUGUCUGGGUCCAGAUUUCCCUCUUCUUUUUGGUGUUUUGAGGCAGGUCUCACCAUGUAGGCCAGGCUGGCCUUGAACUCACAGAGAUCCUAUUGGAUUUAGGGCUCAUCCUAAUUCAGAGUGGUCUCAACUCGGUUUCAUCCACAAAGACUUAAUUUCCCAAUAAGGCCACAUUCACAGACCUGGCAGGCCUUCAGCAUGUUUUGAGGGAAGAAAAUUCGUUUCAUGGUGUCUUCCCAAAAGAGUUAGAGACAUCAUGUUACAGUGACCCAAGGACACGGUGUUUAUAGCAGCACGACUCAUCAUAGCUAAAUCUUGGAAGCAGUCUAUAAGCUCAUCAACGGAUGAAGAAAAUGUGGUAUUUACAGACAAUGGAGUACUACUCUGCCAUAAAGAAGGAUAGACGAGUCAUUUGUAGGACAAUGGGUGCAUCUUGAGACUGGAAUGUUGUGACACAAGUCAGACACACAUGGCUGACUAAAUAUCACAUGGCUUCUCUUAUAUAAGAAACCCAGAGUAAAAAUAAAGACCAAAUAAAAAACAUGAAAGAAAGGAAGCAGGUCUUUCUCAGAGGGAAAGGGCUUCAAGAGGUGGAGGAGGAGGGAGGGAAGGGAUAAGGACCACCAAGGAACGGAAACGUUAUUUGCUACAAACACGGACCCAAAAAGGGAGAGGAGGAAGGGGUGGGGGGAGGGAAGGGAAGGAGGUGAAGAAGAAAUGCCCGUAGGAAACAUGUACUAAUUAACAUUUAAAAACCAAUCCGUCGGUCAGUAAAAGGGCACAGACAGGUACCGGGAGUGGCCACACUACUAUCAUUGACAGCAAGUGCCUCCACGAGAAGUGGAGACAGUGACCUGCGGCCAAGCUCCAGCUUGCAGCGGU
ensembl:lncRNA